UACGUAGGGUGCGAGCGUUGCCCGGAUUUAUUGGGGCGUAAAGGGGCGCGUAGGCGGCCUCGGCACGUCCGUUGUGAAAUCGCCCGGCUCAACUGGGCGGGGUCAGCCGGAUACGGCCGAGCUGGAGCAAGCUAGGGGGUAAGUGGUGAAUUCCCGGUGUAGUGGUGGAAUGCGUAGAUAUCGGGAGGAACACCAGUGGCGAAGG
rnacentral:rRNA from 1 species